rnacentral:rRNA from 1 species
CAGUAGCCGCGGGAAUACGUAGGUGGCAAGCGUUGUCCGGAAUUAUUGGGCGUAAAGGGCUCGCAGGCGGUUUCUUAAGUCUGAUGUGAAAGCCCCCGGCUCAACCGGGGAGGGUCAUUGGAAACCGGGAAACUUGAGUGCAGAAGAGGAGAGUGGAAUUCCACGUGUAGCGGUGAAAUGCGUAGAGAUGUGGAGGAACACCAGUGACGAAGGCGACUCUCUGGUCUGUAACUGACGCUGAGGAGCGAAAGCGUGGGGAGCAAACAGGAUUAGAUACCCGGGUAGUCCCUGUCUCUUAUAC